UUUUUGUUUUUGUCUGUUUGUUUCUUUGUUUUCUUUUAGAUCAUCUCACUGUGUGUCCCAGACUGGCUUCAAACUCUGUCUCCCUGGUGCAUCCUCCAGGGGGUUGGAUUGUGUAUGUGUCCAGCAUCUCAGGAUAUGUCCAUUCUAAUGAGGAAGGUGAUCAGACAGAGUUUCCCUAUUCCAUGGUUGUUAAGAAGCACCAUGAUCAAGGCAGCUUUUAACAAAAGAAAACAUUUAAUUGUGUACAGU
rnacentral:lncRNA from 1 species